AAUUUGUUUUUUUUUAAUGUUUUACACAUGUUAUAUUUUAUUAGUUUAAUCUAAAUUUUUAAUGAUUACUCCAAUUUUUAUAAUAGAAUAUGCAUAACGUUCAAAAAACAAAUAUAAAUAUAGUGUAUACAAUAUCAACGGCCCGGCGCCAUUAGUCAGCAGUAAUUUUGAACAAGAAUUUAAUCAGCUCUUGUUUGUAAGAUGAUAUAUAUGAGCUAUGACUGUAGCUCUACAGCCAAAACCCAAGCUAAGCAACUUGGGAUUGACAAUCCGUUUCAGUAUUUGCUCUAAUCAGCUCAAGUCAACACUGUUCGCUAAACAUGAAGUCUCUAGCAAAAAUGUUCUUAAUACUUUUGUGUUUUUUAAUCGCUGGAAUUUGGGCACAGGAUAUACCACCAAUGCCUCCAGUUGAGGAUAUAUCGGAAUACCAACCAGAUUCACCUAGAACUACAACAGAAACUACCACAACAGAAGCCUCCAUAACAAAAUCCUCCACAACUUUAUCAACACAGCCCAUCACAACUUCAACAAUACUACCAAUAUAUCUGCUUUCCAAUGUUCAACCUUCUUCUGCCGAACAUGUCAAAAACCCUUGGAUCCGAAACAAAAGUGCAGAAAAGUGUUAUCUGAAAGACCAAGAGGACUAUAAUAAGAACAGAAAUGAAGAGAGCUGGGAAAAGACGACAAGCUGUUAUCGCUGCUGCUUCAAUGACGAAAAUUGUGCCGGCGAAUGCAUUAAAAUUCACGAUAGGCCUUGCUUAUGGCAAGAUUAUGCACCUGCCGCACAUGUGCUUCAAAAAAAUAUGGUAAAAUUUAACUAAAGCUGGAAGUAAAAUACAGUCAGUUCAUUGUUUUAGCAAAAGAUUUGCAAUCCAUAUAUUUGAAAGUGAAUGUGUAAUGUUUUAUUUGAGGACGACAUAAUUUAAAACUGUAAAACUCAUUUAUUUGUUUUUAAUAUUUGCAAUUAAAAGUCUUAAAGUCGCAAAA